GCCGGAGUAGCUCAGUUGGUAGAGCAUCCGAUUUGUAAUCGGAAGACCGUGGGUUCGAGUCCCACCUCCGGCU
rnacentral:tRNA from 1 species